rnacentral:misc_RNA from 1 species
AACGAGGCCGACCUGCGGCUGAGUUACCUGCGGAGGGAUCAUUAUUGAAUCAUAGUAGGUUGUGCUGGCUCUAUCUGAACAAGUGCACGCCUGCUCCAAAACAUUCAAACCUCUGUGCACUUUUCAUAGAAUAGCUUGUGAACUGAGUGACUUGCGUCAUUUGGCUUGCAGCUACUCUGUGUCUUUUUAUAAACCUUUAUUAUCAGUUUAGAAUGUUUUUUUUUGUGUAAAUACACAUUU